rnacentral:rRNA from 1 species
GACGAACGCUGGCGGCGUGCCUAAUACAUGCAAGUAGAACGCUGAAGAGAGGAGCUUGCUCUUCUUGGAUGAGUUGCGAACGGGUGAGUAACGCGUAGGUAACCUGCCUUGUAGCGGGGGAUAACUAUUGGAAACGAUAGCUAAUACCGCAUAACAAUGGAUGACACAUGUCAUUUAUUUGAAAGGGGCAAUUGCUCCACUACAUGAUGGACCUGCGUUGUAUUAGCUAGUAGGUGAGGUAAUGGCUCACCUAGGCGACGAUACAUAGCCGACCUGAGAGGGUGAUCGGCCACACUGGGACUGAGACACGGCCCAGACUCCUACGGGAGGCAGCAGUAGGGGAUCUUCGGCAAUGGGGGCAACCCUGACCGAGCAACGCCGCGUGAGUGAAGAAGGUUUUCGGAUCGUAAAGCUCUGUUGUAAGUCAAGAACGGGUGUGAGAGUGGAAAGUUCACACUGUGACGGUAGCUUACCAGAAAGGGACGGCUAACUACGUG